rnacentral:lncRNA from 1 species
CACGACUGUGGGCACGAGUAGCAAGGCUGCAGCAGCACAUUGACUAUAGAAUGAAAUGCAUCCUACAGGAAGGCACAAUCUUCUUUGGCAUCUUUAAGGCGUUUGACAAGCAUGUGAAUUUGAUCCUCUGCGAUUGUGAUGAGUUCAGAAAGAUCAAGCCAAAGAACGUGAAGCAACCAGAGCUCGAAGAAAAGCACUUUUGGGGUCUGGUGUUGCUGCAUGGGGAGAACUUGGUAUCCAUGACUGUGGAGGGGCUACCCCCAAAAUAUACUGGCAUUGCUCGGGUACCACUUGCUGGAGCUGCAGGAGGCCCUGGAGUUGUUAGGGCAGCUGGUAGAGGAGUAUCAGCUGGUGUACCAAUUCCCCAGGCUCCUGGUGGAUUAGCAGGCCCCGUCCCAGGAGUUGGGGGACCAUCCCAGCAGGUAAUGACUCCACAGAGAAGAGCAUUACUGGAGCCCCAACACAGUACCCACCAGGACCGGGGGCUCCACCCCCACCUGUUGGCAGAGCAGCCCCACCUCUAGGCAUUAUGUUUCCUCCACCUGGUAUGAAACCACCCAUGGGCCCACCAAUUGGGCUUCCCCUUGCUAGAGGGACGCCAGUAGGCAUGCCCCCUCCAGGAAUGAGACCCUUUCCACCAGGAAUGCAUCCACCAAGACCCUGGGAUAUUGCUGAUCCAUCU